rnacentral:lncRNA from 1 species
UGCUAUAGCGAGUAGGCGGGGCGUCGGCAUUUUGAAAGGAUCUGCAUAUUGAUUGACAGUUACUACGACAACUCGACCUGCCGGGCGCGUCAAUCGUUCGCUGAAGAGGAAAUUUCGAAUAAAGAACAACGCACCGAGAUUCCGCCAUAUUUGUUUCGACCCGACCUCGAUGACCGGAUAGAGAAUUAUCAUCAAUGGAUUUAUUAUUGACUGUUGUCGUCUAGGAUUACCGUUCUCAAUGGAUUGGAAAUAUAUUUACAAUUACGAUCUGGUAAAUUUUCUGUGGAUUUUUAGCGAAAAUUAACGGUUUUUCUGCAUGAUCAUUUCCCCCUCACUGCGUCUUCUCACGUUCAUGUAUUUUCAUUUUCGCGCGCCUGUCGCCGAGUGGAUCGUCUCUGAAUGACCCCAAUAGCCGACAGGCUUUCACCCUUUCUUGGAAUAUAAUUUAUGGAUUCUUUCUCGAUUUGACGUGGAAUAUUCUGUGGAUAGUACGAUUACACUGAUAAACUGGUUAUUUGUUAUUUUCAAGCUGUAUCAAUGAGCGAAAUACCCAGAUGAUAACGACAGAAACAUUCUAGAGACCGAUAAACAGGUAUGUUUU